CAUUUUUACUUUUUCAUUUUUCAUUUUUCAUUUUCAUUUCUUCAUUUUUUCGCAUCACUUUUUUUUUGGGGACUGAAGCUGCCCUUUGUGGGUUUUUACCUUGGUCCUCUCCUUCUUUAAGCGAAGUAUUUCUUGACUGAAUCCGAGUUUACAGGAUUAGACAAGUUUUUACUAUCCAUCUCUAUCAAGAUCAGUGUUUCUCCAAAAGAACCUUCUCUACAACAUAAGGUUCUUCCAAAUUUGGUAUCUGUUUCCCUCUAAAAUAUAUAUUUUUUUGUAAAGGGAAGAUC
rnacentral:lncRNA from 1 species